GUUUUGAACAAUUUACUUCUCUAUGAGUAAAAUCAAAUUUUACACAAAUAAACAGUUGUUUACUUAUUACUCAGCUUUUACACUGUUGACACUGCUUUCUCUUCCGCUAGUAAGAGUAUACUAGUCAGUAUACGUUUUUAUCCGGCAAGACUUCCUUGGCUUGCCCUUGUCUUGACUUGUUGAGUCGUUCUACAAUGACAUCGGCAAUACGAACAAUAAAUUCUCGUUUAUUGGUCGCUGGCAACAGAGGCGGUUUUUCGUCCACGCACACAAAUUAAAAUGUUAAAGAUGCGGUAAAGUCCGUUCUGCGCAUAUAUUCUGCGCAUCAAAACAUUCCAUCAGUGGGGGAGCAACCUUUGGAAUGUUUUUAAUAUUU